UCAAUUUAAGUAAAAAACAUGAGCACACAUUAAGCAUUUAAUAUGUAUCUGGGGAAUCUGAAUAAAGGGAAUAAAAAGAUUAAUAUAUUAAUAUGGCUUACCUUUACAAUAAGAAGAAAUACCUUGUUCUAUGAGCAGCUGCCAUACUUUCAGACAUGUUUCUGACUUUUAGGUAAUUAACAAA